GACGAACGCUGGCGGCGUGCCUAAUACAUGCAAGUAGGACGCAGUUGCGAACGGGUGAGUAACGCGUAGGUAACUACCUAUUAGAGGGGGAUAACUAAUGGAAACGAUAGCUAAUACCGCAUACUAGUAGAUGGACCUGCGUUGUAUUGGCUAGUAGGUAGGGUAAUGGCCUACCUAGGCAACGAUACAUAGCGGACCUGAGAGGGUGAUCUGCCAAACUGGGACUGAGACACGGCCCAGACUCCGAGGGGAGGCAGCAGUAGGGAAUCUUCGACAAUGGGGGGAACCCUGACCGAGCAACGCCGCGGGAGUGAAGAAGGUCUUCGGAUCGUAAAACUCUGUUAUUAGGGAAGCGGUACCUGAUCAGAAAGCCACGGCUAACUACGUGCCAGCAGCCGUGGUAAUAC
rnacentral:rRNA from 1 species